CAGAUGGUAGCAGCAUGCAGAUCAAGUUCAUUAUCACUGAAAGCAGGAGAGGAGCAGGCUCUUUACAGCUGACUGAGAGCAAUUCUGCAACUAAUAGGCUAUAAGGAGCCUUAAAACAAGUAAGAUGUGGUAUAGUUGCCUCGAAGAAAAUAAUCUAAAAUUCACCAGAACACUUCCACUGAGCUAUCCAUCAGUUCAGGCUGGACAAACCUCAGACCUCAUGUUUAUAGGAGAAAUGACGCUAUGUGGAAAACAUUACUAGAGAAUUAAACACUGGGAACAGAUGAGAACAAAAAAAGACUGAAGCCAUGGGAGUGAACUAGAAAAGGGAACAAGAAAAAUGGGAGGAAACGGAGAGGGAGAAAAACAGAUGAGGAAACUGGAGGUGAGAAAAGAGAGGAGAGGAGUGGGAGAAAGAAUCAAAAA